GAUGAACGCUAGCGGCAGGCCUAACACAUGCAAGUCGAGGGGCAGCACAGAAACAGCAAUGUUUUGGUGGCGACCGGCGGACGGGUGCGUAACGCGUAUGCAACCUACCUUUAACAGGGGGAUAACGGAGAGAAAUUUCCACUAAUACCCCAUAACAUCGAUCAAGGCAUCUUGAUUGGUUGAAAACUCCGGUGGUUAAAGAUGGGCAUGCGUUGUAUUAGGUAGUUGGUGAGGUAAUGGCUCACCAAGCCUACGAUACAUAGGGGGACUGAGAGGUUAGCCCCCCACACUGGUACUGAGACACGGACCAGACUCCUACGGGAGGCAGCAGUGAGGAAUAUUGGUCAAUGGGGGCAACCCUGAACCAGACAUGCCGCGUGCAGGAAGACGGCUCUAUGAGUUGUAAACUGCUUUUGUACGAGGGUAAACCCAGGGACGUGUCCUUGGUUGAAAGUACCGUACGAAUAAGGAUCGGCUAACUCCGUGCCAGCAGCCGCAGUAA
rnacentral:rRNA from 1 species